CGGAGGGAGCAAGCGUUACUCGGAAUUACUGGGCGUAAAGGGCGCGUAGGCGUUUUUUCAAGUCUUGUGUGAAAGCCCCGAGCUUAACUCGGGAAGUGCACAAGAUACUGGAAAAAUAGAGUUCCGGAGAGGAAGAUGGAAUUCCCGGUGUAGCGGUGAAACGCGUAGAUAUCGGGAGGAACACCAGUGGCGAAGGCGAUCUUCUGGACGGAUACUGACGUUGAGGCGCGAAAGCUAGGGGAGCAAACAGGAUUAGAUACCCUGGUAGUCCUAGCCGUAAACAAUGUGCACUUGGUGUAAGCCGGUUUUCGGUUUGUGCCGAAGUUAACGCGAUAAGUGCACCGCCUGGGGAGUACGGUCGCAAGUCUG
rnacentral:rRNA from 1 species